AACUCGGUCCUCUCUCUCUCUGACUAGAUCUGAAGAAAAAAUUCUCCCGUCAUAAAACUCUUCCGCCAUUGAAACCAGAGCAGUUGGAAGCAUCCAUCUUGAAUUUUUGGUCAUCUUUCAGAAGGAGUGGAAGAUUUAAUCUGAGAUUUCACAAGGAGUUACUGCAGCUGCUAUUGCUAAUCAGGCAAGGUCUCUUUUUUAUCUAGCUUUUUGUUUUGGGUUUGAUCUUAGGUCAGUUUAGAUUCUGUGAGAAUUGGGUUUCUGUAACUUUUUAAAUUUGAACAAGUAUGCAACUAAUAAAUUAAGAUGAACUUCAUUUAUCUUC